rnacentral:rRNA from 1 species
GAUCAUUAUUGAAAUAAACCUGAUGGGUUGCUGCUGGCUCUCUAGGGAGCAUGUGCACACUUGUCAUCUUUAUAUCUCCUCCUGUGCACCUUUUGUAGACCUGAAUAUAUUUCUGAAUGUGUGAACAUUCAGGUUUGAGGAUUUGGCAUUGUGUCAUUCCUUGUAUUUUCAGGCCUAUGUUUCUUCAUAUACCCAAUGUAUGUUAUAGAAUGUAAUAAAUGGGCCUCUGUGCCUAUAAACCUAUACAACUUUCAGCAACGGAUCUCUUGGCUCUCGCAUCGAUGAAGAACGCAGCGAAAUGCGAUAAGUAAUGUGAAUUGCAGAAUUCAGUGAAUCAUCGAAUCUUUGAACGCACCUUGCGCUCCUUGGUAUUCCGAGGAGCAUGCCUGUUUGAGUGUCAUUAAUAUAUCAACCUCUUCAGCUUUUGCUUGUUUGAGCGUUGGAUGUGGGGGUAUYUUUUGCUGGACUCUUUUUGAGGUCAGCUCCCCUUAAAUGCAUUAGCGGAACAAUUUGUUGACCGUUCAUUGGUGUGAUAAUUAUCUACGCUAUUGACGUGAAGCAGAGCUCAGCUUCUAACAGUCCAUUGACUUGGACAAUUUUCAUUAAUGUGACCUCAAAUCAGGUAGG